UGCAUUAAACAGAUUAUCGGUUUUAUUUUUUUUCCUCGGCCAAAUCGCAUUCAUCGGACAUUUUUCUAUUCGAUCCAAUUUCUUUCCAAACUGGAUCAAUUUUCCUCGGCCAAAUCGCGUUCUCGUCGUGAUCUCCGGCGAUAUCUCCGGCGCGAGGUCCAUAUCCUCCGGGUGAAGACGCAUAUGACGCCGGUGGUUCUCUUCUACCAUAUCCCCGACCAAUUCCUCGAUAAAGGAGAUGAUCAGUGAGGUUUUGCAUCACAUCGUCCAUCUCAUCUGGCAUUCACAAGCUCUUCAGUCAACAAGACAGGGUCUUCUGCGGAUAUGCAGAAAGCCUUGGUGAAGAACCGAAUGCAUUUGGUCCAAGUCUCCGUGAAGCUUCGCCUGCAGACAAAAAAGAGAGAAGAACAUGGAGCCCAGGGGAUGAUGUCUUGCUUAUAAGCUCGUGGUUAAACACGAGCAAAGAUCCCAUCGUAGGAAAUGAGCAGAGAUGUGGGGCUUUCUGGAAACGCAUAUCUGUGUAUUUUGCCAAUAAUGCUGAAGGCCGUGAACCUGCAUCGGCGGUGCAGUGCAAGCAAAGAUGGCAGAAGAUAAACGACUUGGUGUGCAAGUUUUGCGGGUGUUUGAGGCUGCAACAAGAGAGAGAUCAUCUGGUCAGAACGAGAAUGACAUUCUCAAAAUGGUGCAUCAGAUCUUCUACACUUCUCACAAGAAGAAAUUUACUUUAGAACACACGUGGAAGGAGCUCAGAAAUGAUCAAAAAUGGUGUGAUCUUUCUACUAACAAAGAUGGGAGCUCCAAACGAAGAAGGUUAGAAGAUGGUCCAAACGAUGAUGACAUUGCAGCUGAGGGAAAUACCUGCAAAGACAAUGGAAACAGCAGACCUAUAGGAGUCAAAGCUUCAAAAGCAAAGGGAAAGAAGAGCAUUGAAGUGAUGAAGGUUCCAAUGGCUGAGUUCCAAACAAUGUGGGCAAUAAAAGAGAAGGACAAUGCUCAUCAAUAAAAGAUGACUAAGCUGUCACUACUUCAAUGUCUCCUUGGGAAAAAAGAAACCCUUACUGAGUAUGAAGAAGAUAUGAAGAAGAAGCUGAUAAGCGAACUGAUUUGAACUUCUGUUUGAUGUGAACUUGUUGUUAUUUUAAGUUAGUAUUUCUAUUUCUGUUUAAGCAUGAUCGGUUAUGUCUUUUGUGUUGCUCGUUGUGAACUUCUUGUUGUUUAAGUUAGUAUUUGUUGUAAGACCUUUAACAAGUUUAAGCAUGAUAGGUUAUGUCUUUGGUGUUUGGUUACAAGUAUAUGUAUUUGCAAGUUAAGUGUUUUUUUUUAAAUAUGAAAGAAACUUGUUAUUGUUGUUAUGUUUUUUUAUAAUGCUCGGUUGUGGUUAUGAUUUCUUAACGUGUUAAUGUU